UACAGAGGUGGCAAGCGUUGUUCGGAAUUACUGGGCGUAAAGGGCGAGUAGGCGGCCUUCUAAGUCAGACGUGAAAUCCCCCGGCUUAACCUGGGAACUGCGUCUGAUACUGGAUGGCUUGAGUUUGGGAGAGGGAUGCGGAAUUCCAGGUGUAGCGGUGAAAUGCGUAGAUAUCUGGAGGAACACCGGUGGCGAAGGCGGCAUCCUGGACCAACACUGACGCUGAGUGAGCGAAAGCCAGGGGAGCAAACAGGG
rnacentral:rRNA from 1 species